GACGAACGCUGGCGGCGUGCUUAACACAUGCAAGUCGAACGGAAAGGCCCUGCUUUUGUGGGGUGCUCGAGUGGCGAACGGGUGAGUAACACGUGAGUAACCUGCCCUUGACUUUGGGAUAACUUCAGGAAACUGGGGCUAAUACCGGAUAGGAGCUCCUGCUGCAUGGUGGGGGUUGGAAAGUUUCGGCGGUUGGGGAUGGACUCGCGGCUUAUCAGCUUGUUGGUGGGGUAGUGGCUUACCAAGGCUUUGACGGGUAGCCGGCCUGAGAGGGUGACCGGCCACAUUGGGACUGAGAUACGGCCCAGACUCCUACGGGAGGCAGCAGUGGGGAAUAUUGCACAGUGGGCGGAAGCCAGAUGCAGCAACGCCGCGUGCGGGAUGACGGCCUUCGGGUUGUAAACCGCUUUCGCCUGUGACGAAGCGUGAGUGACGGUAAUGGGUAAAGAAGCACCGGCUAACUACGUG
rnacentral:rRNA from 1 species